rnacentral:rRNA from 1 species
UACGUAGGGUGCAAGCGUUAAUCGGAAUUACUGGGCGUAAAGCGUGCGCAGGCGGUUCUAUAAGACAGAUGUGAAAUCCCCGGGCUCAACCUGGGAACUGCAUUUGUGACUGCAGAGCUGGAGUACGGCAGAGGGGGAUGGAAUUCCGCGUGUAGCAGUGAAAUGCGUAGAUAUGCGGAGGAACACCGAUGGCGAAGGCAAUCCCCUGGGCCUGUACUGACGCUCAUGCACGAAAGCGUGGGGAGCAAACAGG